UUUGAUCCUGGCUCAGGACGAACGCUGGCGGCGUGCCUAAUACAUGCAAGUAGAACGCUGAAGUCUGGUGCUUGCACUAGACGGAUGAGUUGCGAACGGGUGAGUAACGCGUAGGUAACCUGCCUCAUAGCGGGGGAUAACUAUUGGAAACGAUAGCUAAUACCGCAUAACAGUAUUUACUGCAUGGUAGAUACUUGAAAGGAGCAAUUGCUUCACUAUGAGAUGGACCUGCGUUGUAUUAGCUAGUUGGUAAGGUAACGGCUUACCAAGGCGAUGAUGCAUAGCCGAGUUGAGAGACUGAUCGGCCACAAUGGAACUGAGACACGGUCCAUACUCCUACGGGAGGCAGCAGUAGGGAAUCUUCCACAAUGGGCGCAAGCCUGAUGGAGCAACACCGCGUGAGUGAAGAAGGGUUUCGGCUCGUAAAGCUCUGUUGUUGGAGAAGAACUGUG
rnacentral:rRNA from 1 species